rnacentral:rRNA from 1 species
UACAGAGGGGGCUAGCGUUAUUCGGAAUUAUUGGGCGUAAAGGGCGCGUAGGCGGCCAUGCGUGUCUUCCGUGAAAUCCCUCGGCUUAACUGAGGACGUGCGGAAGAAACUGCAAGGCUUGAGUCCGGGAGAGGGGGGUGGAAUUCCCAGUGUAGCGGUGGAAUGCGUAGAUAUCGGGAGGAACACCAGUGGCGAAGGCGGUUGCCUGGAGCUUUGCUGACGCUGAGGCGCGAAAGCGUGGGGAGCGAUCCGG